CACUGUUCAUCAGGCGUACUGUUCAUCCGGCCCGUCUAGAGCCCGUGCAGGUUUUUCUCCGGGCCAAAAUCUGAUCCGCGACCGUGAUCGAUUUGGAGAUGCCGCCAAAGUACCACAGGGAUUGAAGAAUAUGUUAAUUUACCCUGUCUUUUGAGUAUCUUUUUGUAGAGGAGAUAAGCUUGUCGACCACCGCCCCUUUUUGAAAAGCGUGGUUGGGAAUUGGUAGCCCAGGUUAUUGUCCUGUAAUAGUGACUACCUUAUUAUGUUAUGCAAUUAUUGUUUUGUGCUA